UCUUAUCAGAGCAGUCACGUG
rnacentral:piRNA from 1 species